GAUGAACCUCCCUUUUGGGAAGCAGGAGCCCUGCUAAUGAGAUGCCUGUGUAAAGCUGUGAGAAGAAAUCCAGAUUCAGCCUGCACUCUCUGGGCCCCCACUUUAGCACACUCUCAUUGCCUGCUUAUUCCCACACCUGUAUCUAUUUGCAUUAAUGAGGCUUGGGCUGGCUGAUUACAGCAAUUGUGAGGUAGUUACUGAUUGCUUCCACAGCCAGUUUUUCCUCUGGAUGAAGUGGGCAAAAAAGAAGCCACCUCCUCAUCAGGCUGGUGUAUUGGAUGCUGGAUUCCUGUGAAAUUCAUUCGAGUAGCCUGUAAAUGUGACAAUGAAGAUUCUGGGAGACUACAGGAGAAGUGAAAGAAGAAGAAACAGAUUUUUUUUAUCAGUAACAAGCACAGAUUCAGGAAACCACUUCAGAACAUCAUACAUCCCACUGACUUCCAGCACCCAUAUAAAUGAAAAAGGCUCAUAAUACAUAACAGGAUCCUAAUGGAAGACCACUGAUAAAUCUGACACAUUUAAUAAAACUUCUAACCCUAAAUAAAAAUAAAGAUUAUUAUCUGAACAGCAAAUAACCCUAAGUUCCAGAGGCAUCUUGAUCUAGACCAAUUUAGAAAUAUUGGGGCCUACUUGCAAAGUCUAUAUCUGAGUUCAAAUCUCACCUCUUCCUUCUCAAAGAAAGGAUCGAUUCAUAAUCAUUCAAGACAGGCCAGUCAAUGUAUGUAGUUUGGAUCUAAGCUUUCCCUAGUAGGUGUUUGGAUGCAAGGGAGAGGACUUCAAGUCAAGAGAAAUGGUGCCAGCCAUCCCCAACUUGUAUGCAUCCACAUCUACGCCUAAGGCAUUAGUACCUAAUUUUUAUUAAACAGGGUGUAAAUCUUGUAUAUACCUCUAAAACAUCAAAUUUGGCUGUUUUGACCUUUGACCAGGUUUUCUUUAGCCG